ACUUUACAUGCGGGAAACCGUGAUAAGGGAAUCUCGAGUGCCAGCAUAUAAUGUUGGCUGUCCAGAUGCCUAAAAAGCAUUUGUUAGCAAGGGCCGGGCAAGACCGGUGCCAGCCGCCGCGGUAACACCGGCGGCCCGAGUGGUAACCUGUUUUUAUUGGGUCUAAAGGGUCUGUAGCCGGCCAUGUAAGUCCCUUGGGAAAUCUGGCAGCUCAACUGUCAGGCUGCUAGGGGAUACUGCUUGGCUUGGGACCGGGAGAGGUGAGAGGUACCUUGAGGGUAGGGGUGAAAUCUUGUGAUCCUCGGGGGACCACCAGUGGCGAAGGCGUCUCACCAGAACGGAUCCGACGGUAAGGGACGAAAGCUAGGGGCACGAACCGGAUUAGAUACCCGGGUAGUCCUAGCCGUAAACGAUGCUCGCUAGGUGUCAGUCACGGUGCGACCGUGAUUGGUGCCGUAGGGAAGCCGUGAAGCGAGCCACC
rnacentral:rRNA from 1 species